GCUCACUGGAGACAAAGAAAAUUAACAGGUAAUCAACUUAUUGAAAGAACCAACUAAAUACAACAAUGCCACUGACACACUCUAUAUAUAUUUAAAAUGUAUCUAACAGACAUGAAACAUUUCACAUUAUUAAGAUUUUGGAAAAUAAUAACAAUAAAAAUAUCUAUGCUAUAUAUAAAGAAAGGUUUUAUGCAAUUUAUAAAUAUAUUUCAUUCUUAUAAAUAAAAAAAUAUUGUAAAAAGUUUAAUGGAAGGUGACUGACUAGUAGCGCACGCGGCGCACAGCUGUGGGCGCACGAGCCAGUUUUGGUCUCGUGAGGUUUCUGACAGUAACGGUUAUUUUACCUCAGCUCCGCUAGUUUGUGGUCUGACAACACUUUUUGACGCCCUAUUCAUCUGGCAGCAUGUUCCCUAAAACGGCUUCAUCCCAGGGAGAGGAGGCUUGAGACGCUGACAGCGAGCACACCACACAUUUUCAAGAUCAGUUCAUGUUCACAGUUUAUUAUUGUUACAAUAAAGGUUUUUGCAUCAUCA